GGGUCGAUAAGCAAGUUAAAAAUCAGCUACAAGCGAUUCGAAGAUUGGGUGAUAGAAGAUACAAUGACGGGUUUCAAAGAUGGCUUCAAGCACAUUCAUAAUCAUUUGAUCAUUUGAUUUCGUUGUUUUUUUAAGUUUUAAGCCUUGUAUUUUUUUUUUUUUCAAAAGAACGUUGCACUUGUUGUAAAAUUGUAAAUUUUUCUUUUUUAAUAUAAUUUAACAUUAAAUUUAGAAGAAAAAAAACCUGCAAAAUUCAACAAAUAUAUAUAUAAAGAAAGAAGAUAAUAUGAAGGUUACCUUUAAGGCAACUUGAUCGAGAUACGACUAAUAGAUGCAAC
rnacentral:lncRNA from 1 species